rnacentral:rRNA from 1 species
AUGGCUCAGGAUGAACGCUGGCGGCGUGCCUAACACAUGCAAGUCGAACGAAGCACUUAGAGUGAUCCUUCGGGUGAUCUUUUGUGACUGAGUGGCGGACGGGUGAGUAACGCGUGGGUAACCUGCCCUGUACAGGGGGAUAACAGCCAGAAAUGGCUGCUAAUACCGCAUAAGCGCACAGAAGGACAUCCUUCAGUGUGAAAAAACUCCGGUGGUACAGGAUGGGCCCGCGUCUGAUUAGCUUGUUGGCGGGGUAAAGGCCCACCAAGGCGACGAUCAGUAGCCGGUCUGAGAGGAUGAACGGCCACAUUGGAACUGAGACACGGUCCAAACUCCUACGGGAGGCAGCAGUGGGGAAUAUUGCACAAUGGGGGAAACCCUGAUGCAGCCAACGCCGCGUGAGUGAAGAAGUAUUUCGGUAUGUAAAGCUCUAUCAGCAGGGAAGAUAAUGACGGUACCUGACUAAGAAGCUCCGGCUAAAUACGUGCCAGCCGCUGC